UACGUAGGGGGCUAGCGUUGUCCGGAAUCAUUGGGCGUAAAGCGCGUGUAGGCGGCCCGGUAAGUCCGCUGUGAAAGUCGGGGGCUCAACCCUCGGAUGCCGGUGGAUACUGUCGGGCUAGAGUGCGGAAGAGGCGAGUGGAAUUCCUGGUGUAGCGGUGAAAUGCGCAGAUAUCAGGAGGAACACCAAUUGCGAAGGCAGCUCGCUGGGACGUUACUGACGCUGAGACACGAAAGCGUGGGUAGCAAACAGG
rnacentral:rRNA from 1 species